UAUCCUGACAUUUCUUUCCCACAGAAAAUAUUUUUCACUUCCCUCCCUUGGCCUAUUUUGGACUUGCCUUUAGGAAUUUAAGUUUGGUAAUACGUUUUGGUCUUUUACUCUGCUGUAUUGUCUUUUGUUAAUGUACCACAGAAAUGAAACAAAACUUAUUAUGGUGCUUUACACUACUAAGUUCUGAAGUACAUGUCAACAAUAAAAGGAGUACUUCUGCAACAAUCUGUUAUUUUACCCAAAUGCAAUAAAGUUUUCUGGAUUUAUACCUUGAUAUAAAACAGCCGCAGUGCCCCUUUAAAAACCAGAACACGCUGUACACAAAUAGUAAACAUUAGUAAUACAAUUCUUAAAGUGACAGAACCUUUGCUUUUUUAUUAAUUUGCACAAAAAUAAUUAGAAAUAUUGAGACUUCGGAUUUUUUUGUAUUAUAUAGUAGUAGUAUAGUACAGAGGGGGUUACUGUUGUGUUGCUUCUGUUUUGGCUAUUUAUUAGUGCUUUUAUCUUGUGAUUUUUCCUUGUGGACUGACCUGAGAUCUUUUGAUGAAUGGAAGUUUAUAAAUCUAAUAAAUAAUAAUAAUGAUAUAUGCAGUACAUAUCUUUUGUUUUAAAUACUAAAAUCAGAUAAUAUCAUAAUCUAGAAGAAUGGAAAAAGUGUCUGCUAAGCUGUGUUGCCAGGUCACCUCCAUUUUGUCCCCAUGUUUCCAUUUUCUGUAUCUAUCUUUCCUGUAACUACCUAGAUGCAAGAUCUAGUAGUGACUAAGGCACUAAGCAAAGGUUGUGAUUGUAAGACAGUUAUAUUAAAACAUUUAGUAAUCCUUUUAUUGGCUGCCACACACUUGCCAUCGUACAGAAAUGGAAAUCGCCAUAGGGCACCUGUAGCAACGCAACCAGAAGUCUUCAUCUGCCUCACCUGCAAUAAAACAUAUAUCUCCCAUACUGGUCUCUACAGCCACAGCAGGUGCUGUAACUCCCAUUGCCUCCUGAUACAGAUGGGUGCCAGCAACAACUUGAACCUUAUGCUUUGGUAUGAGUGCUUGAAAUAUUGCUGUUCUGGAAAAUGUUACCCUCUGUGUUGGACCAUUGCAAGGCAUAGCUACGCCAGAUACUUUUUAUGCUGUCUAGGGCAAUUUGGUUUUGUGCAAGAACUAACACCGCUUACAACAGUAACCUAUACCAUCUUCCAGUGUGAUCUGAGUUAACUUUUAUUUUGUCCCAGGAUACAAUAUGCGAUGUAUACCAUCCUUUGUCCCUAUGAUUCCCUCUCUUAUUUGUGUAAUGCUGUUUAAAAAGACUACUCUUCCUCUGGGUUAGGACAUACUAAGAUACACUAAAAAUAUUUGGAACAUACAAUCCCGUUAGGCAACUCUGUGCAAAUGACUUUCUUGGCCAUAGUGAGUUGGACUAUGAUGCUUUAGUAAAAUAUAAGGCUGGUUCACAUAAGCAACAUCAAAUGACAAACUGCACGUAGGAAUUAUCAUAAAUUUAACACUUUAGAUAAAGUUUUCAUAUCACCAAACAACACUUCGAACACAACACUUUUCUUGAGGCUAAUCCAUACAUUUAGCUGCCAUUCCUCAAUGACUAAUCAUAUGAUGUACACACAUGUGUGAAACAACCCAUUAUUUAUAACCACCUUUAUGCCUAAACACUUUGUAAACACAUCCAUCCAUAAUGCUAGCAAAAAUCAUUUGUGUCAUGAUGUGGCAACUGAUAACAUCAUAUAUAUGUAAUUCCAUAGGCCUAGAUGUUGGUAUGUCCUAUUCUAAGCACAGGGAAAACAUCACAAAUAGGCAAUGAAAUAACCUUGAUAGGUUUCUGCUCAGCUCCCCACACAUGUCCAUACAGAGCGCUGAUCCAAGCCAUGCAGUCUGUCAGGCAGAACGAAUUAAAUGAUUCACUACACACACACACACACACACACACACUCCAUUUGCUGAUAAACUACUUGGUACAUUCUGCCUCAAGCAAGUCAGACAAGAUGGCUUCUUCCAACGACUGCCAGGAUUCAGGAAGAAGGUUCAAAGCAGUCUAUCAAAAAAGUGGCCAAAGCAUUUUCUCUUAACCCACGGUGCAUAUUCUCAGAGCCAGCCCUACUAUUAGGGGGAAAUGAGACACCUGCCACAGGCAGCCAAUGCUAGAGGCAGCAGUCCCCAAAUAGUUCCUCCUGAUCCCUCUUGGCUAUUCCAUCUGCUGGGGGAUAAUGCUGGGUCUCUCAUGCGGACUGCCUUAAUCCUUCAGUCCAAUGCCAAAGGACUGAGAAAUAAACGUGUCUUAAUAAUGGUGUUGUGUUCAACGUUGUGUGAGCAGAAGGUAGGCCAUGCAGUGGACCGCUGUUUUCCCCUCAUGCUUCUGCUUUCCCCUGUUCAGCUGAAAUUUAUUCAAGAUGGCCACGAUGACCUACUGAACAUUGUGUUUUAUGGGGUUGCAGUGGGGAGAAGGUUGUCUGAAAUCAGACAGAGGAAUAAUUUUUUAUUUUUUAAAAAAUGUGAGUCCACAGUCCUAAAUUUACUUGGAUUUAAAUGUUAUUGUAAUCAUUGUUACUUAUAAGUCAACAUGCUCAGUAGCAGGGAGUUAAUAAAGUUAAAUAAACUUCGCUCUAGACAUAUGGGUCAAUAUGAGAGGCACACCUUCCCUUCUGAAUGUACUUUGUCUCUUCAUCCAUCCAACCAACCAAGUAUUUUCUCCUCUGAUACUUCCAUUGCCCAGGCUCUUGCACAUGGUACAACAAAUCUUAGGAUCAACGUAUUAUAGUAUUAUUCCUUUACUUCUAAAUAUAAUAAGGAUGUGAGCAUCCCUGGAACUUUAAAGCCCCAAAUAUGAGCUGCUGAAAAAAACAUAAAUCAGAUCUGGUGUAAUUUGGAUUUACAUGGGAAUAUGUGGAACAAUUGCCACAUCUAAUGCCAUUAUAGAUUAACCUCCCAAAAUCAGCUAAUGCUGUCAUGCUCAUAAUAUUCUGGUGAACAAUAAUGAUUUAUUUGUAGAAAUUAUGGCAUAGAAGCUUGAAAUGUUGAAGAGUGUUCUUCACAUUCUGGAUUUUUAUCUUUUAGCUCUAGCUUUUUUAUAUAUUUCUAUAAAAGUGCUCAAAGCUACAAAAAAGGCAUUAUUACAUAUGAAGAAAUAUGGGCUUUGUGAAGUCCUUUGAGAUCACUAGAUAAAAACCCCUUGUAAAUUUAACCUUUUAUGAUGGUUUAGAGACACACUUAUAUAGUACUUUUUGUACUCUCACAAAGGUAUUUCAAAGUUUACUCUUCAAGUAACUAGAAAGAAAUCACAUUUUUAAAAGAAGUAAACAGAUUUCUUUUAAAAUCUAGAGCUUUCAGUCUUUUGAUCUGCUGAGUAUUAAUGUUACUGAGAUUAAAUAUCUACAUUCCUUUCAGAAUGCAUGUAACCUAAAAACCGUAUCAAUAGACAUUGAACUAAUAAACCACAACUGAGAAAAGGAAAGCAUAUAACUAAGGGAAACAAUUAAUGUGACUGAGAGGUUAAUGCUUAUUAUUGUACCACUGCUUUCUCAUGACUCUACCCUUUUCCUAAUACAAAAAUAAAUGUCAUAUUUUAGAAGCAGACAUAAGGAAGGCAAUGUAGUAAAGAAAUCUUGCUAUGUGCUGAAUAUACCUAUUUAGAGUGAAAUGAGAUACAAACCCUUCAACCUUCUGUCAUAAAAAAGGGAUGAACAGAAGGUAGAAGCAUUUGGUAUUAGUAAAGAUAAAGUAGCAACAUGAUUUGCAAAAAGUUUAUCUACGAGUCUGUUUACAAAAUGAACAGUACUAUUAAAUCCGAUCCAGCCUCAUAUUUUGCCAUUAUCUCUCUGCCCUUCCAACCACCUAUAUAAUCCAAUAUAUUAAACACUAGGAAUUCUUUUGUCAUUUCUUCUUUUUGUUAUGUAACUCUGGUUUUUGUCUCAUAGGCCCCAGUUCUUCAGUGCUUCACAGUGAGGCUUCAUAAAUGAUUUUAGGCACUCAUCUUUCUUUCUUUCUUUCUUUCUUUCUUUCUUUCUUUCUUUCUUUGUCAAGCUGCCUCUGUGCCCUUUCUGCUUCACUAUAGUCACCUUGCUUUGCUGCUUACUCAUUUUUCCCCACCAAUAUUUUCAAAUGGUAUUUCAUGCCAGCUAAUCUGUAUUAAAUGCACAUUAUGAAUUAUUGUACAUGUCUUCGAUAUGUUUUUCUUCUUCAAAAAUUAGUUAAGUUCUACCGAUUAUACAGGGCUGCGGGUGGCGCUGUGGGUUAAACCACAGAGCCUAGGACUUGCCGAUCAGAAGGUCGGCGGUUUGAAUCCCCGUGAUGGGGUGAGCUCCCGGAGAAGUCCCAGCUCCUGCCCACCUAGCAGUUCAAAAGCACGUCAAAGUGCAAGUAGAUAAAUAGGUACCACUCUGGCGGGAAGGUAAACGGCAUUUCCGUGUGCUGCUCUGGUUCACCAGAAGUGGCUUAGUCCUGCUGGCCACAUGACCCGGAAGCCAUACGCCGGCUCCCUCGGCCAAUAAAGCAAGAUGAGCACUGCAACCCCAGAGUCGGUCAAGACUGGACCUAAUGGUCAGGGGUCCCUUUACCUUUACAUUACCGAUUAUACAGCAAGGCUAAUGUUAUCUUGUGGAUAUUUGCAAGUGUGUAAUGAUGAGUACUUUAU
rnacentral:lncRNA from 1 species